rnacentral:rRNA from 1 species
AGCGAACGUUAGCGGCAGGCCUAACACAUGCAAGUCGCGCGAGAAUGGGGUCUUCGGAUCCCUAGUAAAGCGGCGGACGGGUGCGUAACACGUGGGUAAUGUACCCUUCAGCGGGGGACAACAGUCCGAAAGGAUUGCUAAUACCGCAUACGUCGACGCGGUCUUUAGAUAGCGUCGGGAAAGGUGGCCUCUCCAUGGAAGCUACCACUGAAGGAGCAGCCCGCGGCCCAUCAGCUAGUUGGCGGUGUAAUAGACCACCAAGGCAAAGACGGGUAGCGGGUCUGAGAGGAUGAUCAGCCAAACUGGAACUGAGACACGGUCCAGACUCCUACGGGAGGCAGCAGUGGGGAAUACUGGGCAAUGGGCGAAAGCCUGACCCAGCCAUGCCGCGUGAGUGAUGAAGGCCUUCGGGUCGUAAAGCUCUGUGGGGAGGGACGAAACAGCACGUGGCCAACAUCCACGGGCCUUGACGGUACCUCCUUAGCAAGCACCGGCUAACUCCGUGCCAGCAGCCGCCGCGGUAA